CUUUUGCCUCUCUUCUGUGAUGAGAAUCAAACACAUUCGCACCUCUCUGUGUGCUGAGAGAGACUAGAUGCUGAUCAAAACGCUGCGUUUCGUCGGCGAUCGUCGAAAUCCGUAUCGGAAUGCAAUCCAACGUAUCUUCAACGACCUCAGGGAACUUAUGUUGAAUGAAUCAAAGCGGAAGUUGUGUAGUCUCCUGCUCGUGCUCUUUCCUUGAUAGCAACCGUACAGGUUUUCUGGAAGAGUGUGGGCAGUGGGUGCUCUUUGUUGCUGGGAGAACUUGUGUCUAAAGAGAGAAGAAAAUUAGACUUUUCUCGUGUGGUGAUGAGGGAUCUUUUGAGCUAGUAUGGUGUGAGAAAGAGACAACUUGAGAGUUUGGUUUGACUAUUGACGAGAGGAAGAAGAUUGGGUUUUUAUUGGAGUUCUAAGGUUGCUUUCCAAAGUUUAGGAAAUGGUUCGGUCAGGAUUGACAAGUGGUCAGGGAUCAGUUUCUGAAAAAUCUGUAAUCAUCAGUUGUUUUGGUGGACACACGUUACUGUUCCAGUAACUGAACAAUAUGGAUGUGUAGUUCUAGGAUAGUUUCUAUCAAGGACAAUGGGUUUUAUGGAAAUAUUAUUGGCCUUUUGAAUUAACUGUUGUAUCAUGUUA